rnacentral:tRNA from 1 species
GGCUGGAUAGCUGAGAUGGAUUAGCAUCUGUCUGAAAAGCAGAACAGGUGGGUUCGAUUCCCACGCCAGCCACCA